rnacentral:lncRNA from 1 species
UCAACUUAGGGUUUGAGGGUGUCAUUUUUCUUUUGUUUUUUCUUUGAUUUUUUUUUUUGAUUUUGAUUUUGAUUUUGAUUUGUUUUGAUUUUGAUUUGUUUUUCACCCUCUUUUUUUUUGUAAUGCCCCCGUUUGACUAUUUUGCUGAUUCUCAAGAUACAGCUGAAUGAUCUUCUUUUUAUGCUCAAGAAGACGGAUAAUCUCAUCAGGAAUCUUGUCAACAUCAU